CAGGAAGUGAGCAGCUGUCCUCUACCAGGCCUCUCUCCUGUGCCGUUCUGCCCUGGAGCCGGCUGAUCAUGGACUGAAACCACAAGCCGAAAUAAACCUCUCUUCCUUCCAGUCGUGAAGGAAGUAAGAUACUAUUCAGGGCCCAGAAGUGAAAGCCAAGUGCUCCGGUCGCCCUGCCUGCCUUACCCAGAGUUUCUCAACUGCUAGGGAGGUACCAUCGGAGUGCCAAGUCCCCCCAAAGCCUAAAACGCCGCAGUUCUGACUCCACGGGUCUUCCUUUCCACCCCCACUUCUUGCAUCGUCUUCAGAAUAGAUGGGCAACUUGAAAGACAAACUGGAGCGCUUCCGUCGCCGCAUGAUGUUACCCUACUGAAAUUAAUAACCCAGCAGAGCCCUGCGGUGGCUUUUCUCUGUCGAAGACCCAGGGGAGGAGGGUCGCCGUGGACUGCAGGAACAGCAGUAAAGUGGCUUUGCAGAGACGGGAUCACGGAUGCCAAAAGGCACCUGCUUCUCCGAGGCCUUUCCACUCGCGUGGAGAGGAGUCCGGUGUGGUGGAGACUCAAGGAGGCGAACGAAGGACUGAGCAGCGUGCGGAGGGGGCGUGGCCAGGUGGGCGUGGCCUAGGUCGGAGGGCGCGGCCGAGAGGGCGUGGCCGGGGCGCGGCGGACCCCCCCGGUGGGCGGAGCUUCGGUCGCCUGGCCUCAGCCUUGCGACCCGGUUGUGCAUCCGUGCCCGCUCCCUCGCGCGGACGCCGGGUCCCGGGUCUCUGGGUUUUCCUCAUAGCCAGUGUUAGUCUGGUGAAAGGCGGUAUCAGCUCUGUCGCUGGAGGAAAAGCGUGUCUUCUUGGAGAACAAGGAAGUGGGGUUAAAAGAAGUCAACUCGGAUCUGUGUGACUUCAACCUGUGGGGCUCUGAGGGAAAAUUACCGACAUCUCAGAGCUUUUGCUUUCACCUGCUAAAUAGGGUUGUUUUGAAAAUUAAAUGAUAUAAAGUGCUUAUGUACACCUGGAGCAUAAUUCAUAGACAUAAUUGCCACUACUAAAAUUACUACUCAAAAUAAUAUUUCUGUAGAACUCAUGCUACAGUUUUAUUUAUUUAUUUAUUUAUUUAUUUUGGUACUGGGAAUUGAACUCAGGACUUUGCACUUGCCAGGCAGGCACUUGUGCCGCUGAGCUGUAGCUCAUGCUACAGCUUUAAUAAGCAGUCAACAAAUACUUUUUCCGAGUAGAGAAAAACCCCUAAUUCAUAAGUAACACUAACUCUUAUCACACAUUUCCUAUUUUAUCUGAAAGACAGUAAUUCAAAGACUAAGACAUCGGCAUUUUCUUAGUUCUGAUUUGUUCUAUGUCAGAAUAAUCAGACACACAAUCUUAAAUAUCUCAUGGCAUCUCUUGUAUGAGAAACCCAAAGUAUGAAGAAAUGAAGCAGCAAAAUAAAAGAUAGAUAAUAGGAAACAGGGAGAUCUUUUGCAAAUGGGAGAGGAACCAACAGAUAGAGAGAGGAGAGAGGGAAAGGAAGGGAGAGGAACACAGAAAGAAUUAAGAUGUAUUAUGUUCAUUUACCAACUCCCCACGAUGAAUGUUACCUUGAAGUACUGCAAGCAUGGAGUAAUAAAAAUAAAGAAUAAUAGAAAUUUUAUGUACCUUGGUAUAAGGGUGGUGGUUGCAAUUCUGUAAUUAAACUUACAAUGGAUGCAAAGAAAACAAUAGAAUGAAAACAGAGACAUUCACUAGACUACGUGGAAGAUCCCCUGUCAUACCACUGCACUUUCUUUGUUUUUUCGUGCCAGGGCUCAAACCCAGGGCCUUGAGCAUAGUAGACAAGGAAUCUACCACUGUACCACAUCCCCCAGCUCAGAUCCUUGUCCUUCUAAAUCCGUCUUUAAAAAAAAUAAAUCCAUUUUAAUUUCAGAUGUUUCC
ensembl:lincRNA